rnacentral:lncRNA from 1 species
AUAUUUAGAAAUCUUAACCUAAAGGGUCUAUAAUCCAUCAUUACACAGAAAAUUCCCUUACUACAAAUCCAAAUUCAUAGAAAAUUUGUCAUUCCUCAAUAACCAUAAAACAGAAUUAGAAACAAAAAUUGAUCUAAGAAUUGUGACAAAAUAGCAGAAACAGUUUCAAACAGAAUUAGAAACAAAAUUGAUCUAAGCUAAGUAACCUAAACUCAAAGUCACCUAAAAAUGUAGAAUUUAAACAGUAUCACACAAUUGUGUGGUUUUCAAUGAAAAAUGAAAACUUUAAUGGAUAAAAAAAACUGAGAGAUAAUUUUGUGUGGGGAUUAAUCAAAAUAAACAAAAGGGUAGCAUUUAAAUUAAGAUAUGGUGAAAGAAGCGUGUAAAAUAGAAAAUAAUAAACAAUUGCAGCAAAAAGAAGAGACUAAACAAAUAAUAAUAUAGUAUCGCCUGAAAGAAAUGAAGGAAUGGAGGAAGAAGAAUAAGCAGUGUUGUUGUAGUCAGAGAAACAAC